AUGAACGCUGGCGGCGUGCCUAAUACAUGCAAGUCGAACGAGUUCUCGUUGAUGAUCGGUGCUUGCACCGAGAUUCAACAUGGAACGAGUGGCGGACGGGUGAGUAACACGUGGGUAACCUGCCCUUAAGUGGGGGAUAACAUUUGGAAACAGAUGCUAAUACCGCAUAGAUCCAAGAACCGCAUGGUUCUUGGCUGAAAGAUGGCGUAAGCUAUCGCUUUUGGAUGGACCCGCGGCGUAUUAGCUAGUUGGUGAGGUAAUGGCUCACCAAGGCGAUGAUACGUAGCCGAACUGAGAGGUUGAUCGGCCACAUUGGGACUGAGACACGGCCCAAACUCCUACGGGAGGCAGCAGUAGGGAAUCUUCCACAAUGGACGCAAGUCUGAUGGAGCAACGCCGCGUGAGUGAAGAAGGCUUUCGGGUCGUAAAACUCUGUUGUUGGAGAAGAAUGGUCGGCAGAGUAACUGUUGUCGGCGUGACGGUAUCCAACCAGAAAGCCACGGCUAACUACGUGCCAGCAGCCGCGGUAAUACGUAGGUGGCAAGCGUUAUCCGGAUUUAUUGGGCGUAAAGCGAGCGCAGGCGGUGUUUUAAGUCUGAUGUGAAAGCCCUCGGCUUAACCGAGGAAGCGCAUCGGAAACUGGGAAACUUGAGUGCAGAAGAGGACAGUGGAACUCCAUGUGUAGCGGUGAAAUGCGUAGAUAUAUGGAAGAACACCAGUGGCGAAGGCGGCUGUCUGGUCUGUAACUGACGCUGAGGCUCGAAAGCAUGGGUAGCGAACAGGAUUAGAUACCCUGGUAGUCCAUGCCGUAAACGAUGAAUGCUAGGUGUUGGAGGGUUUCCGCUCUUCAGUGCCGCAGCUAACGCAUUAAGCAUUCCGCCUGGGGAGUACGACCGCAAGGUUGAAACUCAAAGGAAUUGACGGGGGCCCGCACAAGCGGUGGAGCAUGUGGUUUAAUUCGAAGCAACGCGAAGAACCUUACCAGGUCUUGACAUCUUUUGAUCACCUGAGAGAUCAGGUUUCCCCUUCGGGGGCAAAAUGACAGGUGGUGCAUGGUUGUCGUCAGCUCGUGUCGUGAGAUGUUGGGUUAAGUCCCGCAACGAGCGCAACCCUUAUGACUAGUUGCCAGCAUUUAGUUGGGCACUCUAGUAAGACUGCCGGUGACAAACCGGAGGAAGGUGGGGAUGACGUCAAAUCAUCAUGCCCCUUAUGACCUGGGCUACACACGUGCUACAAUGGAUGGUACAACGAGUUGCGAGACCGCGAGGUCAAGCUAAUCUCUUAAAGCCAUUCUCAGUUCGGACUGUAGGCUGCAACUCGCCUACACGAAGUCGGAAUCGCUAGUAAUCGCGGAUCAGCACGCCGCGGUGAAUACGUUCCCGGGCCUUGUACACACCGCCCGUCACACCAUGAGAGUUUGUAACACCCGAAGCCGGUGGCGUAACCCUUUUAGGGAGCGAGCCGUCUAAGGUGGGACAAAUGAUUAGGGUG
rnacentral:rRNA from 1 species